rnacentral:lncRNA from 1 species
AAUCAUUGGUUAUGUCAACGUUAUUGACAAUGUGAAAGACAUUUCAGCCUUUGAUAUUUGACCAAAUAAGUAAAAUAAAGAGAAGAAAGUCUUACAUAAACAAUGUUGAGUGCAAUUUAGCUUGAAGAUGAAGACACCAAGCACUUGAACCAAAAUAAUUGUUCAGUUUCAUGAAGUAAAAAGGACUAAAAAGAUCUACAAACACUGCAGCUCAGCCUCUCACCGCCCACACCACACCUCAGCCUAUUUAGGUCCAAAAUCCCUAAAUAGGCUAUUUUGGAGUAAAAUUUUCUUUUCUAUUUAGGUCCAAAUCCCGGAUCCCUAAAUCAAUUCCAACUUGUCACAAUUGCACCUCAGCCUCUCACCGCCCACACCAC